GAUGAACGCUGACAGAAUGCUUAACACAUGCAAGUCUUUGGCGAAGCUGUGCUUGCACAGCCUAGCCAAGGCGGACGGGUGAGUAACGCGUAAGGAACUUGCCCUGCAGUCAGGGAUAACAGACGGAAACGACUGAUAAGACCUGGUAAAGUCAGGCGGACUCAUGUCCAGCCUGAUGAAAAGAGAUGCUGCAGGAGAGCCUUGCGUCCUAUUAGCUUGUUGGUGGGGUAACGGCCCACCAAGGCGAUGAUAGGUAGCCGGCCUGAGAGGGUGGACGGCCACAAGGGGACUGAGAUACGGCCCUUACUCCUACGGGAGGCAGCAGUGGGGAAUAUUGGACAAUGGGGGCAACCCUGAUCCAGCAAUUCUGUGUGCACGAUGAAGGUUUUCAGAUUGUAAAGUGCUUUCAGCAGGGAAGAAAAAAAUGACGGUACCUGCAGAAGAAGCGACGGCUAAAUACGUG
rnacentral:rRNA from 1 species